rnacentral:rRNA from 1 species
UACGAAGGGUGCUAGCGUUGUUCGGAAUCACUGGGCGUAAAGCGCACGUAGGCGGCUUGUUAAGUCAGAGGUGAAAGCCUGGAGCUCAACUCCAGAACUGCCUUUGAUACUGUCAAGCUCGAGGAUGGCAGAGGUUGGUGGAACUCCGAGUGUAGAGGUGAAAUUCGUAGAUAUUCGGAAGAACACCAGUGGCGAAGGCGGCCACCUGGGCCAUUACUGACGCUGAGGUGCGAAAGCGUGGGGCGCAAACAGG